AGAACGAACGCUGGCGGCAUGCCUAACACAUGCAAGUCGAACGAACUCUUCGGAGUUAGUGGCGCACGGGUGCGUAACGCGUGGGAAUCUGCCCUUAGGUACGGAAUAACUCAGGGAAACUUGUGCUAAUACCGUAUGAUGUCGAGAGACCAAAGAUUUAUCGCCUGGGGAUGAGCCCGCGUUGGAUUAGCUAGUUGGUGAGGUAAAGGCUCGCCAAGGCUACGAUCCAUAGCUGGUCUGAGAGGAUGAUCAGCCACACUGGGACUGAGACACGGCCCAGACUCCUACGGGAGGCAGCAGUGGGGAAUAUUGGACAAUGGGCGAAAGCCUGAUCCAGCAAUGCCGCGUGAGUGAAGAAGGCCUUCGGGUUGUAAACCUCUUCAGCUCUGACGAAGCGAGAGUGACGGUAGGAGCAGAAGAAGCACCGGCCAACUACGCGCCAGCAGCCGC
rnacentral:rRNA from 1 species